rnacentral:tRNA from 1 species
GGGAGUAUAGCUCAAAUGGCAGAGCACAUGCUUAGCAUGCACGAGGUUCUGAGUUCAAUCCCCAGUACCUCCU